UUUAUCUUCAUACAACAAGAUAGAACCUUCUAAAAACAAGGUUGGAAUCUCUUCCUUUCCUCGUGUUCUACAAAAACGUAUAGCUUUAGUUUUUUCAGCAGAAAAUUUGAAACCUUUACUAUUAGCCCAGGUAGUAGCAGCAUUAAUUGCAAUCUGAAUUUUAGUACAAGCUUCAACUGCAGUAGCUCUACUACACAUAAUAACAAUAUCAUCCGCGAAUGCUUGACCAGUUACUCCAACAGGGAGAUGUUCAAGUAGACCAUUAAUGGCAAUAUUAAAAAAGGUUGGACUAAGCACACACGCUUGUGGAAUGCCUUCUUCCUGAAGAUAAUCUGAUGAGAAGGUAGAGCCAAUUCUAACUUUAAGGUACCGGUCAGACAGGAAGUCUCUGACAAAAUUAAACAUAUUGCCAUCAAUACGCCAUUCAACCAGCUGCAUUAAAAUACCAGCCCUCCAGGUAGUAUCCAAUGCUUUUUCCAGAUCAAAGAACACAGCAAUGGUUUGAUUUUGGACCGCAAAAGCAUUCUGAAUCUCACGUGUGAGACAUAAUAAGGGGUCCAAAGUACUAUUCUUGCGGAAGCCAAAUUGCCGCUUCGACAACAUGCUCUGUUUCUAAUAACCAUAUCUGACGAAAAUUCACCAUUCGUUCGUAAAUCUUGAAGACACAGCUGGUAAGAGCAAUAGGCCUAUAACUUUUGAGAUGACUAGGGUUCUUUCCGGGUUUCAUAAUUUUCCACAACUUGUAUGAAGUCCCUGAGGACCAGAAUUCGUUUAAAACUUCGACAAAGAAUUUUUUUGACUCCAGAGGUAAAUGUGAAAUCAUUGAAUAAAUAUCAUCAUCAUCUCUAUGUAAUGUUGGAGAGGACAAAGAUAAGGCAUAUUCGAAUUCGACAAUACUAAAUGGAAGGUAAUAUGCCUCGGAGUUAGAACAAACCGGCGGAUUGACUAUAGUCGUGUUUCUAAUAUUGCGAAAUUCAGGGGAGUAGUGACUGGGGCUUGAAAUGCUUGAAAAGUGCCGAGCAACGGCCUCUGCCACCUCUCUUGCAUCCGAUAUAACUACAAAGUUGAUUUUCAAAAUUGGUUAAGGAGAAGGGGAAAUUUCCCUAGUAAUUUACGGAUUCUAUCCCAAACUAGAGAAAGUGGCGAGUUAUACUUUAAUUCUGAUAUGUACCUAACGAAGGAUUCCCUCCUUGCUUCUUUAAAAACUUGCUUUUGUUUGGCGAUUUUUUUUCUUGUAAAUUAUUCUAUUAACCAAGACAGGAUGUCUUCGAUAUCGCUUGUAACUAGCUCUUGCAAUAUUCCUACUCGAGGCACAUUUACUAUUCCACCAAGGUACCAGUGGACGACGGAGUUUCCCUUAUGUUUUAGGAAUUGACGUCAUUGCCCCUCCAAUCAUUACACCAGCGAGAUAUUCAUAGGCAGCCGAGGGGCAAGGAAAUUCAUUGGCCUUAUGAUUGACAUUGGUAGAUUUUUCAUACAGCUGCCAAUCUGCCUCCUUUAUCUUCCAUUUGGGUAAAGAUGGGGUUGGUGUAUUUUGUAUACAUACUUAAGAUGGAUGGGAUAGUGGUCGCUCUAGACUAUAAGUGGUCAUCCCCUGCCCACUUAUGGUCUAAUCGUAAUGACUACGAACAUAUUGUAAGAUCAAUUGCUGAACUGGAGUUAUGGGCUACAUCAAACCUUGUAGGAGAACAGUCGUUCAUUAAAACUGCAUCAUUACAAUUAACAAUCUUUCAAUUAUAAGCCCACGGUGAUCACACCUACCUUCCCCCCACAAAGUAUGUUUUGCAUUGAAAUACCCCAUCAGAAUGAAAGGCUGAGGUAGUUGGUCUAAAAGUGAUUGCAAAUCUUCAACCUCUAAUUGUCUUGGAUUGCCAGCUCUGUCCACCAAUCGAGUUUCUAGGCCAGGUUCUAGAAAGAGAGCACAGAGUGACCCAUUUGUUGAUGAAAAUCUGUGUUGCACAAGCUUGCAGUAUCGAGUCUAAUUGGAUAACUCCGUGGUAAUGACUUUGCCGCAAUAAUACAUGUGCCACCAUGAGCACGUUCACCUACAGGUGGUGGAGAUCUGUGAAAUAUAAAGUUCUGUCCACAGGUAGGAGAAACAUUACCAAGUUUGGUCUCUUGCAAACAAAGGGCAGCUAAAUUAUGCUCCUUGAAAAGGACCCGGACCUGUUCUCUGUUUAAAUGGAAACCUCGUAUGUUCAACUGACAGAGCCAUUAUUUACUAUUAAUUUUUUUUUCGGACUUGGAAUGGGCUGGUCUGGAAGGACUUGGUCUUUGUUUCGCAGAGGAACUUGGCAGGUCCUCAAGAGACCUGCUAUUUCCUCUCUUGGGAACCCUACUAUGGUGUGGGGAUAUAGGUGGAGAUGAUGUAGUACGGGGUCUCUUAUUUCUAAGAGGUACCGUGUCUGCAGCGUGCACCUGAGCCAUAUGAGGUGCACUGAACGAGGUUUCAUUCUGGAACAUACCCAGAUCAGCCAGCGAAGCUACCUGUAAGGCUUCUACAUCAGAAGCCCGAGAGACCUCCCCGAAGCCCAUAGGAGGCCCAUCGGGAGGGGGCAAAGGAGCCUUCUUGGAUGAAGGCGGAGAUGCUGAAUGUACUUCGAGCUCAGAAAGGGAUAGCUGAAGCUUUGGUUUUGAAGUUGGCAUCCCAGAUUGAUUUUUUUUAUUAGAUUUUCCAAUUUUCACUACAUCACUAUAUUGAGGUUUUGGGAACAAAAGUCUUUUUGCCUGGCCAAUACUUAAUGUUCAGCAUGAGCUUUCUCUAUGGCUGCCACUUCAUUUUUAAAUGACUCACAUUCCUUAUGUCUUACAUUAUGAUUUCUCUUACAAUUUAUACAUAUUGGAUUAGAACAUUCGCCUUCAUGCUUUUGUAAUGAGCAGGCAGUACAUAACUGGUUUCUAGUACACACCUUUGACGAGUGACCAUAUCCAAAACAUAUGAAGCAUUGGAGUGGUCUAUGCUUAAAAGGUCUAACACGAAAUCUCUCCUUGUCAACAUAUACUUGAUGACUUUAAUUUCACCAUACCUUCCAAACAUUUCCAUAAAUGCAAAACAAUUUAAAUCUGAGGAGAGAGAAUCAACAUAAAGGAUUCUCUCACCACUGCUAGAGCUUUCCGUAGCCACAUUCAAGGUCUUGUUGGGUCGUCUUCUGUACUAUUAAAUUUUCUUUAGGAUUGUCCUUGUUCGUGCCAGAGGUCGAAGAGGAGGGUAGUGUCAGGAGGUCGAACUGUCCGGGGAAGUUUAUCAUAGGGUCAUUAAUCCUUAGAAAAAACUACUGCAAAUCAGGCAGAAAACCAAGCCUACCGCACCAACCCCUCUCUCACCAAAGACACUCGGCAGAGACUGACUCCCGUAUGUCCACUCCCUAUCCUACUCCGAAGGGAUAGCUCUAUCAUAACAUGAGUGGCUCAAGUGUAAGCAAAACCCGCUUGAUAGGACUGAGGGCAUAACUAGUAUGCAAUCAUCCCCAUUCAUGUUACAAUAGAGGGCAAACUGGAAAGAAUGUAGAGUCCUACUGUAGAGACUAUACCUCCCCGGAUUCCGCAGGCAAGUCCUCCAUAGGUAUUCCGCCCCGAUAGAUAUUGGUUUGAAAUCAUAACAUCCUCAGGGUCCAAACAUACUCGAAAGGCGGACCAAACCUCUACAGUCUCUGCCAUUCGGAUCAAGAAAGAGUGGAAACAAAAAUUUAAGUAAGAGGAAAAUUGAGACUUUGGAUUCGAACUGGGAGAUAUUUGUCCCAGUUCGAAAGCCCUCUUGCCCGCUAUGCAUUUUCAGCCGUCUGCUGAAAAUGCGUAACUUUGUCAAGGCAAGUCUUAAAUGAAGAGGGACACUUACGUGGGUGACUUAGAUGGAGCAGCGGUAAUGAAUUCGUACCGUUAACUUGAAGGUCACUGAAGACAAGUCAUUUCAUUGAACUUGGAAGCCUUGUAUGAUUAAAUGUUCAGUAAAAAAGACUGGCCAUGUAUCUUCAGAUUUGUCUACGAGGGCUGUAGAUCAAGUUUGGUACCAGAACGUUUUUCUUUUUUAAAGUGAGUUAUGCAUUGUGGCUCAAAUUUUUUUACAGUAUAUUUCUUAUGGCACUCAUUUUUCGGCUUAUAUUUUCUGUUAGUCUUAAUAUUCAAGAGAGGUUUCUGUUUGUCUCAAUACUCAAGUGUGAAUUAGUAACUACAGGAACUAUUUAAAUUGCAGGAUAUAGUUGAUCUGAGGUGUAAAGAAUGAGUGCAACCUGUUCAGGCGAUGAAGAAAGUGUCAUCGGUGUUCACUAGAGCACUAAGGACAAGGAAAAAUGAGUCAGUUUUUCGUUAAUCCUUCAGGUUGCAUCCAAGUGAAUCACCGACGGCGACCAAGUUAAAUUAUGAAGGAAGAUGAAGUUAACUAUCUAAGAUUCCAGGGAUUUAAAAUGAUACAUUAAUCCCAGACUAGAACACUACAGAAAAAUCCAUGGAAUAUAAGAAGAUCGGUGAAGAUUCGAAGAAAGAGACUAGAUGAAUGUAAUGUAUAUUAUAAUAGAAAAUUUGAAGGA